CAUUAUUUCGUAAUUCUUUAACUCAUUUGGUGUACUACACUACACAUUUCCUUUCUUCUCUAGCACUCCCUUGGUUUGAAACCAAAUUAUUUCUCAGCUUCUGCAGUUUGACUUUUCAAGGUCAACUGCCACUUAUUUCUUAUUAUAUACAUGCGUAUCGAAGUACACGUUUGCACUCUUUUUCAAUUCAAACAUGCUUACGACCUCAUAGCUUCACUGUUCCAGUGUUUUCUUGCAAAUUUUUACCCUUCCCGUUUUAAAGGUUAGUCAUAAUACUUAUUUCGCUUACAACACCAACAUUUUAGUUCCAUUCGCUUAUAUACUUUCAUUACUUUUACGCAUUCGAGUAUCUAAUUAAAUGGGUAAUGGCAUACAUUCUCAUAAUGAGAUUCAAGCAUACCACUUACGCCUCAGUAAAAUCGAGUUAAUUGUGUUCAACAUAAAUAUUUCGUUCUAUCCGUAUAACGGGUUGAGCUUCAUACAUUUAUUAUUGCAUUCACGACCACCCGUUCUAAACGGAUGGUACCCUAUCCUUACUCGACUUGUUCAACUUGAACCGGUCGAUUUGCAUAGCUUAUCAUAACCUUCUUUAGCAUAACCAAAUCCGCAAGGGAUUUGCAUCAUUCGUAUCUUUCAUU
rnacentral:lncRNA from 1 species